GCCCCCCAAGGCAGGCCGGCCUCCCCCUCCUCCGGGCUCUCCUCCCUCCCUCCCCCCCUCUGCUCCAGCCCCUCGGCGGAGCGGCGAGAAAAGGCUUCGGGAGAAUUUCCAUUAAGUCGGCUCUGCUUCAGAAUCUGAGCGGCUGCGACCCCCGCCCCUUCCGCGGAGACAACUUCUCCCGGGUUCUAAAGGCCCGCGGGGACCCGGAAUCUCCAGCACAGGACCUUGCCCCGUCUCUCCUGCGGUCCGGUGCCCACGCGGCCGAGCGCUCGGAUCCCCGCCCCCGGUCCGUGGCCGGCCAGCUCCCGCCUCGGGCCUGCCCAGGUGCCCGGGGCGGGGCUCCGCACAAAAGCCGCAGGGACCCGCAGCUUCAGCAAGUACACCCACCAGCACCACAUGUGACCCGGCCCCAGCUGAUGGAGAGUGAGGGUGAGGCCCCCGGCCAGCCCUGGGCCUGCAGGAAGGGGAAUGGGCUGAGUGACAGAGCCAAGCAGGUGCUGUCCUGGCAGGGGUGGAGGGCUGGGGAGGCAAACCUCUGUAAAUUGGCUCCCAGCCUCAAUGCUCUCUACCCACACUGGGAAUCCCACUCAGCUGCCCAAACUGCAUUGCUACACAAUUGACACCUGCUCACCCAGCCCUCAGAAGAGAAGCCAGAGUCCUCCUAGGAGCCCACAGCCCCAGGCCAUCUGACCACCUCCCUGCUCUGGCUGUUCUGCAGUCGCUGGAAUACACUCAGUCCUGUACUCACCCCAGGGCCUUUGCACCAUCUAUGUCUCUGGGGACCUCUCUUUUCCAUCUAGGUGCCCCAUGUCCUCUUUCAAAUCUUUGCUGUCAAAGAUUGCUCAAAUGUUGUCUUCUCAGAGGGACCUCCUCUGGCCCCUCUGUAAACUGGCAACCCCCUCCCAGCUUUUUCUCCGUAGCUCGCACGCCCUCUGACAUUCUCCAGUUUCCUGGUUUUUAAGUCUGUUUCCAUCUACUAGGUUUCGAGUUCUUUCUGCCCACUGUGUUUCCAGCUGUGUCCUGCAUGCUUCCCACGAGGCCCUCCCUAAGUAUUGGUUGACAAUAAAGUAGUGAAUAUAAAUCCGCAGACCACCUUUCCGGUCAAGGUCAACCCUUCUCCCACCCCACCCCAAAACUAGUGCGCGGCAACAAACUGGGCCACUGUGUAUAACAUUCUCAACACGUCAGAGGGUCUUUAUUUAAUCAGUGGAGAAAAACAGCACUUCAGUAGAAAGUAGGCAAUGGCUGUGAACAGACACCCCACUGUGGCUCCGGACAAAAUGAAAAAGUGCUCCAGCCCCCCCCAAAUCAGACAUGCACGUCCAAAUAACCAGGAAGGGUCACUUCUCACCUACCAGACUGGUACACUUUACAGGGUGGUCGUGGCUUAGUGUUGGGCGUGCAGAGGAAAGGUGCCCGUGGUGGGAGGGCGGGCAGUGGCCCCCGCAGGGCCCUUAUAGGUUCGUACUGAAGAGGAAUAGCCAGCGAGGACCCUCCAGGCUCCUUGGAUACUGAAACCCAGGUGUAGCUCAGAGGGGUGUUCAGUGCACUGUGACUGCACAGGAGUUGGCCCCAGGGUAGCUGGUGAGACCUUCGCCCUGCCGGCUGGCCCCUCGUUCCUUCUCCAUCUUUUUCCCCAUGCAACUUGGAUGCUCCGGGACACCAGCUGGGAGGAGAGCUGCCUCUCUGGCCGGUGGGUGGGCAAGUCGGGGUGGUAGCGCCCCUCACGACCUCCGUGGAGGGGCUCACGGCCACCAUGCGACUGGCAGGAGGCAGCCAGGACAGCCCCAGAAAUACUUAUUAAAGGGCCAAUAAAUCACAGGUCUGUCCACCUCCCCACGCUC